rnacentral:rRNA from 1 species
AGUUUGAUCCUGGCUCAGAUUGAACGCUGGCGGCAUGCUUUACACAUGCAAGUCGAACGGCGGCGGGGGCUUCGGCCUGCCGGCGAGUGGCGAACGGGUGAGUAAUGCAUCGGAACGUGCCCAGUCAUGGGGGAUAACUACGCGAAAGCGUAGCUAAUACCGCAUACGCCCUGAGGGGGAAAGCGGGGGAUCGCAAGACCUCGCGUGAUUGGAGCGGCCGAUGUCGGAUUAGCUAGUUGGUGGGGUAAAGGCCUACCAAGGCGACGAUCCGUAGCGGGUCUGAGAGGAUGAUCCGCCACACUGGGACUGAGACACGGCCCAGACUCCUACGGGAGGCAGCAGUGGGGAAUUUUGGACAAUGGGGGCAACCCU